AGCAGCCGCGGUAAUUCCAGCUCCAAUAGCGUAUAUUAAAGUUGCUGCAGUUAAAAAGCUCGUAGUUGAAUUUCGGGAUCAAUAUGUUGGUCGUGCCUCGGUACGUACUGGCUUAUUGGUUUCUCCCUUCUGACGAACCAUGAUGUCAUUUAUUUGGUGUUAUGAGGAAUCAGGACUGUUACUUUGAAAAAUUAGAGUGUUUAAAGCAGGCCCACGCUUGAAUACAUUAGCAUGGAAUAAUGAAAUAGGACGUUUGGUUCUAUUUUGUUGGUUUCUAGGAUCGACGUAAUGAUUAAUAGGGAUAGUUGGGGGCAUUAGUAUUCAAUCGUCAGAGGUGAAAUUCUUGGAUUUAUUGAAGACUAACUACUGCGAAAGCAUUUGCCAAGGAUGUUUUCAUUAAUCAAGAACGAAAGUUAGGGGAUCGAAGACGAUCAGAUACCGUCGUAGUCUUAACCAUAAACUAUGCCGACCAGGGAUCGGAUGAUGUUAAUUUUUUAAUGUACUCAUUCGGCGCCUUAAC
rnacentral:misc_RNA from 1 species